GAAAGAAAGGUGUGGUCCUGUGCUCCUUGCGUCUCAGUCUUUCAUUUAUUUUACAGAAGCAGACGGACAACCAGAUGAUCCAGGUUGGAGCGGGGAGCUGAGCACACACACACACCGCUGAAUGGAAUGGGAGACAAGGACAACAGGACUAAAACACAAGAGGUACAGAUAAGUAACAGAAGUUCUAUCAUACUACAACAAAUAAACAACAAACUGCAACAUCUUGGACAACCUGAAAAGCUGUAUGCAAAUUCUCUACUUGCUCUUUGUACAAAAGAGGAGUAUCUGCUUUGUGGAUCAGUAAGAGUAAUAAAGCUGUGUUUACUUCAAACCAUGAUCUUCUCAUCAGCUCUAUUACUGCUGGCAGCAGCUGCAUCCUGUGGUGUUUUCUGUGUUGAGCUCACUCAACCUCCAUCUCUGGUUGUGAAACCUCAAGAAUCAUUCUCCAUCUCCUGCAGGAUUUCACAAUCAAGCUACUGCAUUAACUGGAUCCGUCAACCUGCUGGAAAAGCAAUGGAAUGGCUCGGAUAUCUUUGUAGUGGUGGUGGCACUGGAACAACAGACUCAUUGAAAAACAAGAUCAGUUUCACUCAGGACACGUCCAAAAACACUGUGUUUCUACAAGGGAAGAAUUUCCAGACUGAAGACACAGCUGUGUAUUACUGUGCAAGAUACACACAGUGA